CUUGACCGACCCCAGCCACAGCGGACGGCCCUCCGGCCGGUCCUGCCCAUAGGCGUUGAGCAGCGCCUGCGCCUC
rnacentral:antisense_RNA from 1 species